UACGAAGGGGGCUAGCGUUGUUCGGAUUUACUGGGCGUAAAGCGCACGUAGGCGGCUUGUUAAGUCAGAGGUGAAAUCCCAGGGCUCAACCCUGGAACUGCCUUUGAUACUGGCAAGCUCGAGUAUGGUAGAGGUUGGUGGAACUCCGAGUGUAGAGGUGAAAUUCGUAGAUAUUCGGAAGAACACCAGUGGCGAAGGCGGCCAACUGGACCAUUACUGACGCUGAGGUGCGAAAGCGUGGGGAGCAAAC
rnacentral:rRNA from 1 species